UACGUAGGGUCCGAGCGUUGUCCGGAGUUACUGGGCGUAAAGAGCUCGUAGGCGGUUUGUCGCGUCUGCUGUGAAAACUGGGGGCUCAACCCCCAGCCUGCAGUGGGUACGGGCAGACUAGAGUGCGGUAGGGGAGAUUGGAAUUCCUGGUGUAGCGGUGGAAUGCGCAGAUAUCAGGAGGAACACCGAUGGCGAAGGCAGAUCUCUGGGCCGUAACUGACGCUGAGGAGCGAAAGCAUGGGGAGCGAACAGG
rnacentral:rRNA from 1 species